AGUUCGAUCAUGGCUCAGAUUGAACGCUGGCGGGAUGCUUUACACAUGCAAGUCGAACGGCGGCACGGACUUCGGUCUGGUGGCGAGUGGCGAACAGGUGAGUAAUGUAUCGGAACGUGCCUAUUGUGAGGAUAACUACGCCGAAAGCGUAGCUAAUACCACGCUACGCCCUUCGGGGGAAAGCGAGACCUUCGAACUCGCACUAUUAGAGCGGCCGAUAUCGGAUUAGCUAGUUGGUGGGGUAACGGCUCACCAAGGCGACGAUCCGUAGCUGGUUUGAGAGGACGACCAACCACACUGGGACUGAGACACGGCCCCAGACUCCUACGGGGAGGCAGCAGUGAAAUUUUGGACAAUGGGGAAACCCUGAUCCAGCCAUCCCGCGUGUGCGAUGAAGGCCUUCGGGUUGUAAAGCACUUUUGGCAGGAAAGAAACGGCACGGGAUAAUACCCCGUGCAACUGACGGUACCUGCAGAAUAAGCACCGGCUAACUACGUGCCAGCAGCCGCGGUAAUACGUAAGUGCAAGCGUUAAUCGGAAUUACUGGGCGUAAAGCGUGCGCAGGCGGUUCGGAAAAGAAAGAUGUGAAAUCCCAGAGCUUAACUUUGGAACUGCAUUUUAACUACCGAGCUAGAGUGUGUCAGAGGGAGGUGGAAUUCCGCGUGUAGCAGUGAAAUGCGUAGAUAUGCGGAGGAACACCGAUGGCGAAGGCAGCCUCCUGGGAUAACACUGACGCUCAUGCGAAAAGCGUGGGAGCAAAACAGGAUUAGAUACCCUGGUAGUCCACGCCUAAACGAUGUCAACUAGCUGUUGGGGCCUUCGGGCCUUGGUAGCCCGCAGCUAACGCGUGAAGUUGACCGCCUGGGAGUACGGUCGCAAGAUUAAAACUCAAAGGAAUUGACGGGGACCCGCACAAGCGGUGGAUGAUGUGGAUUAAUUCGAUGCAACGCGAAAAACCUUACCUACCCUUGACAUGUCUGGAAUCCCGAAGAGAUUUGGGAGUGCUCGCAAGAGAACCGAGACACAGGUGCUGCAUGGCUGUCGUCAGCUCGUGUCGUGAGAUGUUGGGUUAAGUCCGCAACGAGCGCAACCCUUGUCAUUAGUUGCUACGAAGGGCACUCUAAUGAGACUGCCGGUGACAAACCGGAGGAAGGUGGGGAUGACGUCAAGUCCUCAUGGCCCUUAUGGGUAGGGCUUCACACGUCAUACAAUGGUCGGGACAGAGGGUCGCCAACCCGCGAGGGGGAGCCAAUCCCAGAAACCCGAUCGUAGUCCGGAUCGCAGUCUGCAACUCGACUGCGUGAAGUCGGAAUCGCUAGUAAUCGCGGAUCAGCAUGUCGCGGUGAAUACGUUGGGUCUUGUACACACCGCCCGUCACACCAUGGGAGUGGGUUUUACCAGAAGUAGUUAGCCUAACCGUAAGGAGGGCGAUUACCACGAUAAGGAUUCAUGACUGGGGUGAAGUCGUAACAAGGUAG
rnacentral:rRNA from 1 species